rnacentral:rRNA from 1 species
AAGUCGAACGAACUCUGGUAUUGAUUGGUGCUUGCAUCAUGAUUUACAUUUGAGUGAGUGGCGAACUGGUGAGUAACACGUGGGAAACCUGCCCAGAAGCGGGGGAUAACACCUGGAAACAGAUGCUAAUACCGCAUAACAACUUGGACCGCAUGGUCCGAGCUUGAAAGAUGGCUUCGGCUAUCACUUUUGGAUGGUCCCGCGGCGUAUUAGCUAGAUGGUGGGGUAACGGCUCACCAUGGCAAUGAUACGUAGCCGACCUGAGAGGGUAAUCGGCCACAUUGGGACUGAGACACGGCCCAAACUCCUACGGGAGGCAGCAGUAGGGAAUCUUCCACAAUGGACGAAAGUCUGAUGGAGCAACGCCGCGUGAGUGAAGAAGGGUUUCGGCUCGUAAAACUCUGUUGUUAAAGAAGAACAUAUCUGAGAGUAACUGUUCAGGUAUUGACGGUAUUUAACCAGAAAGCCACGGCUAACUACGUGCCAGCAGCCGCGGUAAUACGUAGGUGGCAAGCGUUGUCCGGAUUUAUUGGGCGUAAAGCGAGCGCAGGCGGUUUUUUAAGUCUGAUGUGAAAGCCUUCGGCUCAACCGAAGAAGUGCAUCGGAAACUGGGAAACUUGAGUGCAGAAGAGGACAGUGGAACUCCAUGUGUAGCGGUGAAAUGCGUAGAUAUAUGGAAGAACACCAGUGGCGAAGGCGGCUGUCUGGUCUGUAACUGACGCUGAGGCUCGAAAGUAUGGGUAGCAAACAGGAUUAGAUACCCUGGUAGUCCAUACCGUAAACGAUGAAUGCUAAGUGUUGGAGGGUUUCCGCCCUUCAGUGCUGCAGCUAACGCAUUAAGCAUUCCGCCUGGGGAGUACGGCCGCAAGGCUGAAACUCAAAGGAAUUGACGGGGGCCCGCACAAGCGGUGGAGCAUGUGGUUUAAUUCGAAGCUACGCGAAGAACCUUACCAGGUCUUGACAUACUAUGCAAAUCUAAGAGAUUAGACGUUCCCUUCGGGGACAUGGAUACAGGUGGUGCAUGGUUGUCGUCAGCUCGUGUCGUGAGAUGUUGGGUUAAGUCCCGCAACGAGCGCAACCCUUAUUAUCAGUUGCCAGCAUUAAGUUGGGCACUCUGGUGAGACUGCCGGUGACAAACCGGAGGAAGGUGGGGAUGACGUCAAAUCAUCAUGCCCCUUAUGACCUGGGCUACACACGUGCUACAAUGGAUGGUACAACGAGUUGCGAACUCGCGAGAGUAAGCUAAUCUCUUAAAGCCAUUCUCAGUUCGGAUUGUAGGCUGCAACUCGCCUACAUGAAGUCGGAAUCGCUAGUAAUCGCGGAUCAGCAUGCCGCGGUGAAUACGUUCCCGGGCCUUGUACACACCGCCCGUCACACCAUGAGAGUUUGUAACACCCAAAGUCGGUGGGGUAACCUUUUAGGAAC